rnacentral:misc_RNA from 1 species
UUUCCGUAGGUGAACCUGCGGAAGGAUCAUUAACGAGUUGCGUUCGGGGUUGUUGCUGGCUCUACUCGAGCAUGUGCACGCCUCGCAUCCACUUCAACCACACCUGUGCACUUCAGAGGACCGCUCGGUCCUCUUUUACACACAAACCUUUAUAUCGUCAUGGUAGAACGUCAUGUAUUAAACAAAUACAACUUUCAACAACGGAUCUCUUGGCUCUC